CUGGAAAAUUCUUUUAUUGAUAUAUUCAGAGCUAGUGUUACUUUGGCAUUUGAAAGCUAUAAGUAGGGAACAUCCUAUUGAGAUCAUAAGGGAGAGGAAAUUGAAGAAACUAGGACAAAUGUGUGUCUCACUUUCAAAAUGAGCCUUGCUAGCUAGAGGUCCGGCCCUGCUUCCAGGAAACAUCAAAGGAGGAGAUUUCAAAAUUUUUAACCACAUUAUUGCAUAAAUUUCCUUAAGAGAUUCAGUCUAAAUGAUAUAUGUUCAUAGCCUCAUCACUCAUGUAUAGCAUGACAUUGUACUGAAGGAUAAUGCAUUUAUUGCUUGGUAGAUCAAAUUACCCUUACAGUACUUUCUUCGUCUUUUUUUUAUUUGUUGAAGUUGUUGACAGCAAGGUCCAACUACCUAUUUAGUCAUUUGUUUGUGAGUUUUAUGUUAUGAUCAUAAUCUGUUAGUUAUUUUCACUGGUGACUUCAUGGUUGAAAUUAAUUGGUAUAUUAUAUUAUAUUACAAACAAAUAUAUUUUUUUUAUCUAUAAUUUUCCAUUCAUAAGAACAAUGCCAAUAAUAUGCUCAAUUUUAUGCUACAAGUUUCCUAAUAUUAGACAUUUUGAUUUUUUUUUCGUUUUAAAUUUCCCAGUUUACCUUUAUAAAGCAUGAUUCAUCAUAUCAUAUAUGAUAUAUCUUCUCCUUCACAAGUCUUUCUUUAUCAAUUAUCAUGCUAUCUUUUUAUAUAUGUGGUUUGUGUGAUACAGGAAAGCUUAAGAUAUUUUUAAUCCAUACUUUGGAAAAGAUGAUGAGGUGUAGUUGGACCAUCUUAUAGCUUGAUAAUGACAACAGAAUUUGGAUUCUUUAACUGUUCUUUAUGUUUGAACACAUUGAGUUGCUUCAACCUUCAAACGGGUCUUGUUUCAGUGUGAUGAUUAGCAAUCUGUACUAUUUUAGCACUCAUGUUGUACCAGUAUCUUCCACCAAAGAAGACACAACGUCUUCGUUUCUCCCUGGAAGUGAUCUGACCUAAACCAUCAUCAUCAUGAAUUCAUGAUCAUCAUCUUUUUGCAGAUAGAAUAUGAAGCAUCUUAUGAGCAAGCUGUGGCUGGGAACAUGCACACACACUCUUGACUCUACAGUCUACACCUUGAAAUUAGUAAAGGGUUUGCUGAUGCUAGAAUUUGGCUUAUUUAUUUUCACCAUAUAUGAGAAUGAAAUAACGACACGGCAAAGCUCAAUUAAUCAUUAUUCAUGCUUUCAGGUCAACUCUGGGACAGUUCCCACAAAGGCACACACCAUGAUGCUGACUUAAGAACUCCCUCCACAUGCACCACAAAAGCAACUUGUAAGCGCCACUUGAAUACUCAAAUCUGUUUAGUGUGUCAAUACAGUAAAAUUGUAUUACCUAUGACUAGUAAAUUGUAAAGUUACACAAAGUUAUUAAAACAUUUCGUUCUUCAUUUAUCAACUCAGAUCAGAAGUCUCACGAGAGACUCUCUGAAAUACUAUAUCCAGCAUAUGGCUGCAAGAAUAUGUGCUAUUCUCUUCAGAAUUCUUAAUUUUUAAAGCACAUGGCUCUCUAAGCUCCAAUCUUGUAAUUUUCCUUAAUUGGUAAUCUGAAACCAUGCAGCCAUGUAAGGCACUUUGCUCCGCUUUGGGGCUUCUGCUGAUCUUCCAUAUU